rnacentral:rRNA from 1 species
UACGUAGGGCGCGAGCGUUGUCCGGAAUUAUUGGGCGUAAAGAGCUCGUAGGCGGUCUGUCGCGUCGGAUGUGAAAGCCCGGGGCUUAACCCCGGGUCUGCAUUCGAUACGGGCAGACUAGAGUGUGGUAGGGGAGAUCGGAAUUCCUGGUGUAGCGGUGAAAUGCGCAGAUAUCAGGAGGAACACCGGUGGCGAAGGCGGAUCUCUGGGCCAUUACUGACGCUGAGGAGCGAAAGCGUGGGGAGCAAACGGG